UACGUAGGGUCCGAGCGUUGUCCGGAAUUAUUGGGCGUAAAGAGCUCGUAGGCGGUUUGUCGCGUCUGCUGUGAAAUCCCGAGGCUCAACCUCGGGCCUGCAGUGGGUACGGGCAGACUGGAGUGCGGUAGGGGAGAAUGGAAUUCCUAGUGUAGCGGUGGAAUGCGCAGAUAUCAGGAGGAACACCGAUGGCGAAGGCAGUUCUCUGGGCCGUAACUGACGCUGAGGAGCGAAAGCGUGGGGAGCGAACAGG
rnacentral:rRNA from 1 species